rnacentral:lncRNA from 1 species
UUUAUGUCUGUAUGAGUGGGAAGGUAGUUAGUAGCCAAGGAGAGAAGGACUUGUUUCUGGAGGAAUAAAACUGUUCUGAGGUUGAUUACUGUAUUACUGUGAAUAUGUGAGAGUUUGUCAGGAUGCAUAACCAUGUGAAUUAUUUGAUAUCAGUUUAUAUCUCAUUAAAACUGUUAAAAAAUAUUAUUCCCAGACACAUUGCAUUCAAGCUGGUAAAAAAAAAAAUCAAAGAUCAUUAAUGCUUUCAGAAUAAAGAAAUCCCACAUAACACUGCAGAGGAACUAUUAUUUAUAUGAAUGUAAACUUCUCAUGGAAACAGGAAUGGUGUGUUUAAGGUCCCCAAAGAAUGAAUAUAAUUACAAACCCAGAAGAUACCCAGCAGGAACCCAUGCAAAACAAAAACAGUCUUGGCUGAAAGAAAACUAAGGAUUCAUCAGCAGUAGACCUAUUCUAAAAUUGAUGCUGAAGAAAUGUCUUUGAGGAAACAGAAAAAAUUAGAACUUAAUGAAAGUCAUCAGGGCCUAGGAAGAUGACUCCGUGGUUAAAGCACUCACUAUGCAAGUGUGAGGAUUGGAGUUUGGAUCCUUAGAGUCCUUGUUUUGGGUAGACAAUGGUAGCUACCUGGUAAUCCCUGCAUUUGGCAGACAAAGAGAGGGCAUCCCCAAGGCAAGUUGGCUAGCUAGACUAUCUAGAAUCAGCAAGAUCCAAGUUCAGUGAGAGAUUUUUCAUCAAUAAAUAAUGAAUGACCAGAAUAGACACUUGACAUUAGCAUUGGUCCUCCUCACAUGUGUGCAUACAAAUAUGCACAUACCUCCUCACACACACACCCACAUAUGUGCAAAUAUGCACAUACUAAGUAUGUACCAUGCAUGGUGGUUUGAACAGGUGUAACCUCUGUAGAUUCAUGUGUUUGAAUGCUUGGUCACAGGGAACAGCACAAUUAGGAGAUGUGGCCUUAUUGGAGGAGUUGCAUCCUUGUUGGAGAAAGCGUGUCACUGUGUAGGUGAGCUUUGAAAAUUCCUAUGCUUGGGCUCCACCCAGUGUGAAAGAGAGUCUCCUUCUGGCUACCUUCGGAUCAAGAUGUAGAACUCUCAGAUCCUUCUCUAGCAUCAUGUCUGGCUGCAUGCUUCAAUGCUUCCUGCCAUCAUGAUGAUGGACUGAUCCUCUGAAACUAUGCUGCUUACCUGUCCCUCACCCAUCUU